GGUGGCUCAGUGGUAGAGUGUUUGCCUCGAAUGCAUGAGGCUCUGGGUUCGAUUCCUCAGUACCA
rnacentral:tRNA from 1 species